UACGUAGGGUGCAAGCGUUGUCCGGAAUUAUUGGGCGUAAAGAGCUCGUAGGCGGUCUGUCGCGUCGGCUGUGAAAUCCCGAGGCUCAACCUCGGGUCUGCAGUCGAUACGGGCAAACUAGAGUAUUGCAGGGGAGACUGGAAUUCCUGGUGUAGCGGUGAAAUGCGCAGAUAUCAGGAGGAACACCGGUGGCGAAGGCGAGUCUCUGGGCAAUAACUGACGCUGAGGAGCGAAAGCGUGGGAGCGAACAGG
rnacentral:rRNA from 1 species